AAUACCCUAUUAUUUAAAGAGAAAUUUUUUGUACUUAAUUAGUAGUAGUUAAGGUCUUGAAAAUUAAAGAAUUUGGCGGUAUUUUAGUCUAUUCAGAGGAAUCUGUCCUAUAAUUGAUGAUCCACGAUUUUUUUUACCUAUUUUAUUAAUUUACAUAUCGCCGUAGUUAGAAUAUUUUUUUAAAAAGAUAAUAUUCAUAAUUUAGUUUUAUAAAAAAAAUCAGGUCAAGGUGUAGUUUAUAAAUAGGAAGAGAUGGAUUACAAUAAAAAUAUUUAUUAUGGAUUGAUUAAUGAGAAAUUUUUUAUGAAAGUGGAUUUGAUAGUAAUUUUAUUUG
rnacentral:rRNA from 1 species